GCAUUUGUAGCUUAGUGGAUAGAGUGUCCGUUUCCUAACUAGAAACUUUUAGGUAUGACCCCUAGCUAGUGCG
rfam:Ipomoea nil DNA, scaffold: scaffold3384, cultivar: Tokyo-kokei standard.